rnacentral:rRNA from 1 species
CCUGGUUGAUCUUGCCAGUAGUCAUAUGCUUGUCUCAAAGAUUAAGGCAUGCAUGUCUAAGUUCAAGCGAAAAUAAAGUGAAACCGCGAAUGGCUCAUUACAUCAGUUAUGGUUCCUUAGAUCGCACUUACUACUUGGAUAACUGUGGUAAUUCUAGAGCUAAUACAUGCGCUGGGCUCCAACCCUCGUGGAAGGAGCGCUUUUAUUAGAUCAAAGCCAAUCGGGCCUUCGGGUCCGUUUACUUGGUGACUCUGAAUAACUUUGCUGAUCGCAUGGUCUCGUACCGGCGACGUAUCUUUCAAGUGUCUGCCUUAUCAACUGUCGAUGGUAGGUUAUGCGCCUACCAUGGUGGUAACGGGUAACGGGGAAUCAGGGUUCGAUUCCGGAGAGGGAGCCUGAGAAACGGCUACCACAUCCAAGGAAGGCAGCAGGCGCGCAAAUUACCCACUCCCAGCUCGGGGAGGUAGUGACGAAAAAUAACGAUACGGAACUCUUACGAGGCUCCGUAAUCGGAAUGAGUACACUUUAAAUCCUUUAACGAGGAUCUAUUGGAGGGCAAGUCUGGUGCCAGCAGCCGCGGUAAUUCCAGCUCCAAUAGCGUAUAUUAUUAUUGUUGCGGUUAAAAAGCUCGUAGUUGGAUCUCGGUUUCGGGCGAGCGGUGUACCUUGCGGUAUUUACUGUUUGCCCGAACGAUUUUGUUGGUUCGUUUAUGGUUCUCUUAACCGAGUGCCAUAAGUGGCCAGCACGUUUACUUUGAAAAAAUUGGAGUGCUCAAAGCAGGCGCUACAGCCUGAACAUUAGUGCAUGGAAUAAUGGAAUAGGAUCUCGGUUCUAUUUCGUUGGCUUUCGGAGUCGAGGUAAUGAUUAAUAGGGACAGACGGGGGCAUUCGUACUGCGACGUUAGAGGUGAAAUUCUUGGAUCGUCGCAAGACGAACUACUGCGAAAGCAUUUGCCAAGAAUGUUUUCAUUAAUCAAGAACGAAAGUUAGAGGUUCGAAGGCGAUCAGAUACCGCCCUAGUUCUAACCAUAAACGAUGUCGACCGGCGAUCCGUUAUCGUUAACUGAAUGACUUAACGGGCAGCCUCCGGGAAACCAGAGUGUUUGGAUUCCGGGGGAAGUAUGGUUGCAAAGCUGAAACUUAAAAGAAUUGACGGAAGGGCACCACCAGGAGUGGAGCCUGCGGCUUAAUUUGACCCAACUCGGGAAAUCUCACCAGGCCCGGACACCGGAAGGAUCAU